AAAUGAAUAGACGGGGACCCGCACAAGCGGAGGAGCGCGUGGUUUAAUUCGACGGCAAUCGAAGAACCUUACCAGGGUUUGAAAUGUAUCUGCAUGCCCCUAGAAAUAGGGGAGGCUUUCGAAGGUGAUACACAGGUGCUGCAUGGCCGUCGUCAGCUCGUGUCGUGAGAUGUUGGGUUAAGUCCCGAAACGAGCGCAACCCCUAUCCUAUGUUACAAGUGUCUUAGGAAACUGCCUCGGUAAAACGGGGAGGAAGGUGGGGAUGACGUCUGGUCCGCAUAGCCCUUAUGUCCUGGGCGACACACGCGCUACAAUGGCCGAUACAAUGGGAAGCCAAAUCGUAAGAUGGAGCAAAUCCUAUAAAGUCGGUCUCAGUUCGGAUUGAGGUCUGAAACUCGACCUCAUGAAGUUGGAUUCGCUAGUAAUCGUGGAUCAGCCAUGCCACGGUGAAUACGUUCUCGGGUCUUGCACACACCGCCCGU
rnacentral:rRNA from 1 species